rnacentral:rRNA from 1 species
UACGUAGGGUGCAAGCGUUGUCCGGAAUUAUUGGGCGUAAAGAGCUCGUAGGUGGCCUGUCGCGUCGGCUGUGAAAACUCGGGGCUCAACUCCGAGCUUGCAGUCGAUACGGGCAGGCUAGAGUUCGGCAGGGGAGACUGGAAUUCCUGGUGUAGCGGUGAAAUGCGCAGAUAUCAGGAGGAACACCGGUGGCGAAGGUGGGUCUCUGGGCCGAUACUGACGCUGAGGAGCGAAAGCGUGGGGAGCGAACAGG